CAUCAACCGUCGGGGCCGGAAGCGAGCGAGAACGAAAUUUACGACUCGGACGAAAGUAAUCUGCUCCGGACGCCGCUCGACCGUGGGCCACACUUUGAUUUGUCCGCCUCGAAGAACAUUACUGCGCUGGUCGGGAAGACGGCCUAUCUCAACUGCCGGGUGAAGAACAUCGGCAACAAAACGGUGUCCUGGGUGCGGCACCGUGACAUCCAUCUGUUAACCGUAGGUAGAUUCACCUAUACAUCCGACCAGCGUUUCCAAGCUGUACAUAAUCCCCAGACCGACGAUUGGUCACUACAAGUAAGUCCUGAGCCAAGCCCCUGUCCUAGAGUUCAUAUUGUUUUUUGGUUCUAUUUUACCUGGUCUGGUGUAUCGCAUCCUCAGGGGGGGUUUUCGCCCAUUGAGCCUUUGUGGGAGAAAACAUAAACCGUCCAUAUUGACACCAUAUCAGGCCUAUCCCAGCCAUCGAUCAUCGGGGAGGCGUGUUGAAUACAGGAGAAUUGUGUUGUUUUGUUUCCCAGUUUCUUUUGCCACAUUGUUGCUCUGUUGUUCUUUAGGAUUAGUGGCUCUUCGAACGACAGCCUUAACCUCAAUCUGUGUGCCUUCUUUCGAUUGUACAUUUGAGAUCGUCCUUCAGUUGAGAUGUUGUGGUAGGCCUUCAAUGUUAAGCUGAAGGUUGCUUUUGAUGUUGUAUUUUGUUUAACUGUCUGAAAAAGGAUAUUAUUUUUAAUGUAGUUGAAGCAAGAAAAGAAAGUCAAUGUUUUUAAUUCUCCUUCUUUUCUUCUCUGUCUUUCUUCUCUCUUAUUACCCCUCUUUAUUUCCUGCCUCUUGUUUUCCCCUCUCGAUCUUUCUCAUUCUUUUCUUUCUAGUUUCUUUCUUUUUUUUUCUUUCUAUCUCACUUUCUGCCUUUAUUAUUAGUACUAUUCGUUUUGUUUUUUUUCUUUCAAUAUGCUAUUUUCACUUUAUUUCUUGCGUCCUCCUGCUUCUCUUCACUUGCUAUUUCGCAAGUUGCCCUGCGCUUAUUUAUUUAUUUUCCUCUUUUCAUGGUUUCUUUUCCAAUUUUUCCGUUUUCCAAACGGAUAUUUAACAAAUAUUUUUGAACAUCAUUGGAAUAUUAAUUUAAUAUAAUUUAAAAUUUUAUUUUUUGUUUUGUGAUUUUCUUUGGUUUAUUUCAUUGUAUUCUAUUUCAUUACCAGAAUCAUUUCGCAAUUUUUGUUUCACGCUGCAAAAUCUGUCACAAUCUAGCAAAUGAGUACAAUUUAUUUCCAAGAAAUUAUUAAAUUUCACUUCGUUUUUCGCUGAUUUCACUAGCAAUAAUGGCACACGGCUAGCAAACGAAACUUCAACACGUGGCACAAGGUUCCAAUGCCAGGCUAGCGCUGCGCGUGCAGUACCGUGGAAGCUGGUUUCGAUCCGUGCGAUGAUUCAAUUACCGUUCCCCGGAAUCCAUAUGCACACAGACGGAAAGGUAGUUGCGUUAAUGGAAAUAAUGGCCAGAGGUGCAAACAGACUGAUCUUUCCCCUUGUUCGUUGUGCCUGUGCACCUUUGGAUCGGGAACGUGGUGAUGUGGAAAGGCAAAAAAAGAAGAUAAUAUUGACGAUGGUUGGAAGUAAACAAAAAAUAAAAAAAAACUUUAUUUUGAGUACCCCUCGGUCAAUGUGCACACGUUGAAAAAGCAUCACUAUUUUCCAGGAAACUCAGCCUGAUGCACAGUUUUUUUCCGUGUGAAAUGUCGUUUUUGUUUUAUCGUGACAUGUGCGUUCAAAUAUUUUCAUUGAAAAACUUCACCGGAAAGAACGAUUUCGACCAAGUAGGGCUGGGGUUGGCUGGAGUAAGGCACGGGAAAACGGGUGGUUUUUUUAAAAUUCAAUAUCAACGUGAUUUUAAUACCAAUUUUCAGGAUGACAGAAACGCAUCGCAUCGUAUCGUAUGUGAAUCGAUCGUUCACACUUGCCCACCUCAAGGGUUGAACGUAUGCACCUGCUCGUUGCAUCGAUCUCCCGGAUAAACAUCGCUUUCCCAUUCCAUUCCUUUUUUAUUGUGGCAAGUUUAAACAAAAUGAUAGAGCACGUGCGUUUGUAAGGGGUUAGUUCAGUGGUAGGAAAGCUUGGAGACGGGCGGUGUGUGCAGGUUCAGGAGUGUGUAUGAUUCUGCAAUCCAUUCGAUGUAUUAUUGUGGUUGCACGUUUAUGGCUCUCGUGAUUUAUCGUUUGACCCGGAAACAGAGCCCUCUUAACAUGCUUGACACCAAAAAAAAAAAAAAAAAACAAAAA